GCUGGGCAUAGUGGCGGGUGCCUGUAAUCCCAGAUACUUGGGAGGCUGAGGCAGGAGAACCGCUUGAACCCGGGAGGCGGAGGAUGCAGUGAGCCGAGAUCACGCCACUGCACUCUAGCCCGGGCAACAGAGUGAGACUCUGUCUCAU
rnacentral:SRP_RNA from 1 species